AUUCCUUAAGUCAGUUUAAUUAUUUUAUAAUAUUAAUGAAAUUGCUAUUUGAUACCAAAACUUGUUUCUUGCUUUCUUUCUUUUUUUUCACCCUGGUAAUCACAGAUCUUCCAAGAGAAAAGAUUUACACUGAGUUACAGCCACCAAGAGGGUUUCCUCAAUGACUCAGCGGGUAAGAAUCUGCUUGUAACGCAGGAGAGACAGGAGACUUCAAUCCCUGCGUCAGGAAGCUCCCUGGAGGAGGAAGUGGCAGCCCACUCCAGUUUUCUUGCCUGGAGAAUCCCAUGGACAGAGGAGCCUGGUGGGCUACAGUCCAAAAGGCCACAAAGAGUCAGACACGACGGAACACACAGCACACGUGGAGCCACCAAGAUACGUGAGAAUCCACAUCAAUUAUAUCUUUCAAAGGUGAAAACCAUGGGUUUCCCUGGUGACUCAUUUGGUUAAGAACCCACCUGCAAGCAGGAGACCCUGGGUCUUUGAUCCCUGGGUCAGGAAGAUCCCCUGGAGAAGGGAAUGGCAACGCACUCCAGUGUUCUUGUCUGGAAAAUCCCAUGGACCGAGGAGCCUGGUGGACUACAGUGCAUGGUCGCAAAGAGUCAGACAUGACUGAGCAACUAGCAUUUUCACUCUUUAAGGUAAACCAAAGUUCUGAUGUGGAAUGGAGACUCUCUCUCUGAAUCUAAAUCCCUCUCCUCCUUUAUAAAAGUACUUUGCUUCCUCUCUUCACAGCUAAUGUUUUCUGGAGUCACCUUGAUUCAGCAUCAUCUACGAAACUCAAGUUGGUGAUGGACAGGGAAGCCUGGCGUGCUGCAGUCCCUGGGGUUGCCAAGAGUCAGACACGACUGAGUGACUGAACUGAACUGCACUGCACUGAUGUAGCUCAAGAGCUUUCAGAAACUCAACAAGGCUAAGAUGUCUUCCUAGUAAGAAUCAAACAGGCUGGUACAAGCUGGAGAAUGAGGCUUUUGUCCAGAUGGAUGCCAGGUGAAUGGAAGAGCCUUGGGAAGAAGUAAUCAGAUUCAGUUUUGAUUUAUAUGCUGUUUACUCUGAGUCCCAAUAUGGAUAUGAACCCAGAAAUACAAAUUAAAAUCAUAUACAACUUUAGCA
rnacentral:lncRNA from 1 species